GGGGGCCCGCACAAGCGGAGGAACAUGUGGUUUAAUUCGAUGAUACGCGAGGAACCUUACCCGGGCUCAAACGACGGAUGGAUGUUUUUGAAAGAAGGCAGCCUUUCGGGGCAUCCGUCGAGGUGCUGCAUGGUUGUCGUCAGCUCGUGCCGUGAGGUGUCGGCUUAAGUGCCAUAACGAGCGCAACCCCCAUCGCCAGUUACCAGCAAGUAAAGUUGGGGACUCUGGCGAGACUGCCGGCGCAAGCUGUGAGGAAGGCGGGGAUGACGUCAAAUCAGCACGGCCCUUACGUCCGGGGCGACACACGUGUUACAAUGGCAGGUACAGAGAGAAGCGAUGCGGCGACGCAGAGCGGAACUUCAAAGCCUGUCUCAGUUCGGAUUGGAGUCUGCAACCCGACUCCAUGAAGCUGGAUUCGCUAGUAAUCGCGCAUCAGCCACGGCGCGGUGAAUACGUUCCCGGGCCUUGUACACACCGCCCGUCAAGCCAUGGAAGCCGGGAGUGCCUGAAGUGUGCAACCGCAAGGAGCGCCCUAAGGUAAAACCGGUGACUGGGGCUAAGUCGUAACAAGGUAACCGU
rnacentral:rRNA from 1 species